rnacentral:tRNA from 1 species
CCCUCUGUAGCUCGGUGGCAGAGCACUGGUCUUGUAAACCAGGGGUCGUGAGUUCAAUCCUCACAGGGA